rnacentral:rRNA from 1 species
ACUCCUACGGGAGGCAGCAGUAGGGAAUCUUCCACAAUGGACGAAAGUCUGAUGGAGCAACGCCGCGUGAGUGAAGAAGGGUUUCGGCUCGUAAAACUCUGUUGUUAAAGAAGAACAUAUCUGAGAGUAACUGUUCAGGUAUUGACGGUAUUUAACCAGAAAGCCACGGCUAACUACGUGCCAGCAGCCGCGGUAAUACGUAGGUGGCAAGCGUUGUCCGGAUUUAUUGGGGCGUAAAGCGAGCGCAGGCGGUUUUUAAGUCUGAUGUGAAAGCCUUCGGCUCAACCGAAGAAGUGCAUCGGAAACUGGGAAACUUGAGUGCAGAAGAGGACAGUGGAACUCCAUGUGUAGCGGUGAAAUGCGUAGAUAUAUGGAAGAACACCAGUGGCGAAGGCGGCUGUCUGGUCUGCAACUGACGCUGAGGCUCGAAAGUAUGGGUAGCAAACAGGAUUAGAUACCCUGGUAGGAUAGCG